CAUGAUGCUUCCUAGCUUUACGGGUAAUGUCAAACACACCAGAAUAGCAAAAGGCUGCUGAGUUCGGGUUGAGAAGACUAUACACUGCUCCACAGUUUAACUCUGAAAGCACAAGCUUCACCUCACAACUAUCAGGCAUUUCUCACUGGUGGCUCAUAGACACAGAGUAAUAGUAGAAUAAAAGAGCUGUCUUUGAGAAGUAGUCUACUCAAAGCCUCACAAUAAGACGGCUUGUGAAGUAUUUAUCAGCAGGCAGCCCAGAAACAACACCACGCUCUGAAACAUUGCAUGAAAUGCUAUUGGCAGGAAUUAAUUCAGUCUGACUUCUGUGAACGGUGAAGGUCAGGGCAGAAACAAACACAUACAUAACACCCCCGCACCUUUCCCACUUCCCAAGCCUAAAAUGACAGACAGGUACACAGGCACGCUUUGCCCUGGGUCAGCAGCAAUACCUAUCUACAGCCAUAGCAACGCUGCCUGAUAGCAAAGCCUUUGUGAAGUGAGCACUGGGUUGUGCGGGCAGAUACAGGGCAGAUUGAAAGAGACUAUGAUUAGUCAAAACAAACAGAUUAAACAGAAUGCCACAUCUAUGGAAGGAAGGCUGAAAGUCUGAAGGCACUCAGCUGUCACACUGAACGUUAAAGUAGAACACACAACAAAAAGACUGAUGACAUCAUAGUCAAUAAACACAAGUCUAUUUUCAGGAAUUGUUGCACCUUCUUCAAGAGUCUGUGCCCAAGUUACCAUCUCCUGGUUUCUGAUGCCUCCUAGGAAGGCUUGUGGAGCUCUGAAAGUUCUGAGGUAUGUCAGAGUUGCUUCUGUAACUCCUCAAAUACUGUGCUGGAAGCUCUGCAGCUGGAAAGACUAACAUCGUGAAGGAAACUGCUCUCAGAAAAAGUUUUUGUUGUUGUCUGGAUUGGGUUUUUUUGAGCAACAUCUUGUUAGCCCUGCAAUGAAAAUGUGCAUCUCUAGGCACCUGAAAGAAGCAAAGAUCUUCAACAGAAGCAGAAGAGGAGGCAGACGUGAUGCUCAGGAGUCCCUUUUAUCCCACAACACACAGGAUACACAUCACUUGCUGGAGAUCUGGGUCAUCUCUUUGCCUGAAGACGUUUGAACCCACAUAUCCCAUAUGAACACCAGGAUGUACUGGGGAGGAGCACUCUCAUCUUUCUGGUGCAGGCUCCCUCUCACACCACAACCAUGUGGUUUGUUCAUUCAUUAAAGCAGAUGCAGCCUGUGAAGACUCUAACACACAACUUCAUGCCAUUCUCAUACUCAGUUCAGGUGAAACAUCUCACUUAGAAACAAAAAAGCUCUGGGCUUGGGAGUGAGCCCUUUUGAACCAAGAGACUUGGAAAUGUACCUGUCUGAUGGUUUACCCAGCUUCUCCCUAUGGUGCCAGGGACCUCUGGCAUAAAUAACCUCCUGUUAGUACGAACAGCCCAAGCUGUCCGAAGCACCCUGAAUACCCAGAAGCUAAAAAAUGGAGGAAGAUGUUUCACAGUGCACACAGGCAGAAGGAGGGACCAAACCCAGACCCUAAGAAGCUUCUGCAAACUUCUCAACCAUUUCUCUUUCAUGAGGUCCUUCAUUUUAUGACGGGAGAUGGACUAUAGGUUGUGAGCUCAACACUGAAAAAAUAUUGCCAUCUAAAGCUGCUCACAGUUGUCAGCAAAUUCACAAGUGACCUGAUAAUAACAUACACUUUCCAACCAGCCAUUGCCUAAUUUACUAUUUAUCAAGUCUUGCCCAGCCCAAAUCUACAUCUUGCAAAGCAGACAACUGUUUCUUUUAUCUGCUGCCCCAGCUGGUAACCAGAUGAUUACACAUUGUUUGUCUCCUGCUUUCAUUUGGGAAACUGAGUUGAAGGGACAGUUGCUGCAUUGUAAAGACUUAAUCUAGCAUUGUUUUCUGCUAUAAAACUGCUGUCAUCGAAAGGGGCACACAUAAGUGCAAUAAGAGACAACUUAACAAACAAAAAAAUACGUGUAUCACACUCAUCCUAAAUACAGACCAUACAGGCCAGCCAUAAAAAGUGUGGCUGAAGCACAAGAACAUGGAUCACCCAGAGCCCUGCCCCGUGUGUCACUUCAGCUACUAUUACACUGUUUUCAUUAAUGAAGAAACUAGGACAGCCUUGUAACUUCAGUUGAGCAUUAAUCCGUUGCAACUUGUAAAGAACUGGAGUGCUGCACACGAAGGUGAUAAGGUAUAAACCUAUAUGAACAUUGAAAGAAAGAACCACAAGGAUUGUCUCAUUCACUGUGCUUACCCCAGUGCCCUAAACAUUCUUCCUGCUCGUGUUCUACUAGAAAAAAAGCUGACUUUCACUUACCACCAUAGUUAACUGAAAAGUGAACUAAUUCUUUAAUUUGGAGGGUGGUAGAAGAGGCAGAAAGCAUAAAAAGAUGGGUCUUGUUCUAGUGCCAUAAGAACUACUAUGCAAAGUUUCUCCUCGUUGUUAUGGACAAGAAGAAAAAGGAGAAGGGGGGGAGAGGAAAGGAGGGUAACAAAUCAAGGAUAUUUAUCAAAGAUGAGCAAAGACUUGCUUGGUUCCAGAUGAGUAUUCCCAAGCAAUGGAAAACUUGUAAAGUGAAACUAUUUUAACUUAAUGAGUGGAGAGAUAAACUGGUAUUUAGAAAGACAUUUCAGUAGUAGUUUUUUAACCAUUUCUAUAAAAAGAGAAAGAAAGCUAUAGGAUCAGACAUUUAAAAAGUCACUGCCACCAUCCCUUUGUAGGACCAGAGUGCUUUCACUUCAGCUCCAAGGAUUUCCAACUACAACACACUCAGGAAGUACUGAACAAGAUGCAGAAAACAGUGUUUUCCCUUUUGUUUUACCAAAGUUCCUGAAUUCUACAAAUGUUAACAUUUAUAUGUUUGUUUUUUAAACCUAAAACUUAUCCGUGUCUUACUCUGAAUCACACUAAAUCUGUCAAGAAUGCUGAGCAGUCGUGUAAGAUUGCUUCAAACUAGAAAUUAAAGUUCAUCAUCAGAACAGUCAGCUGAGAGCCUUCACACGGCCGGUGCCAGCCUUAUUCAGAAUCACAGACAGCAGUCUCCCUAUUAACUGAGGCAAUUCAAGCUUUGUUACACUUCAGGCUGCAGCAUGGAUGUCUCAACUCAGUGAGCUAAUGCACAUUACUCAAUGUAAGAGAAAACAGCUUAGUAAUGAAGGAGGUGUGGCCAUGCACACUGAUAAAUCCAAGCGAGGGCAUCAGUGCACAUGCUCCUCAGCGAAGGAGAGGGGAGGUAUGUUGAAAGUAUCUAGGUCUGUGAUGAAAGGGAAAACUUGAUGGAUGAUAUUUUGGAACCAGUCACUAACAACAAAAAUCUGGUGGGUGCCCUUCUGGAACAGAACCAGAAAAGCACACUGUGAGCUCCAAGGCCUACCAGACACAUGCAAGGCACAAGAAAGGCAAGGCAGCUCUUGAAGUGUGCUGGCAGCUCCUCUCCCUCCUGUUGUUUUUGUUCCUUUGUUUUUAAUCACAGAGGGUGUGGAAAUUAAAUGAAGAAGCCCUUCUAGAUUUGACUCUAAUAGCUUCCUGACUGCCUCCUUCCCACUUGGAAAAAUGUCUGAAGUGAGAGUGACUAUGAAAAGACAAGAACUGCUGAAUGUUCAAAAGGGAAGAAUGGAAAAGGAAAGAAAAAAAAAACCCACAACCCGCAUCACCUGUAUUUGUGGGACCAAUGUAGUUAACACCAGCUAGAAAAAAAGUAAGAUGGUGGUGGUUAGAAUAGGAAGAACUACUGUUUUUAAGUAUUUUGGACCAGCUAAAGUUAAAGCUUAGUUGUAUUUAAAGCAGUCCAAGAACAAAAAUACUUACCUUCAACAGUGCAUAAUCAAAGGAUGAGAUGCCAGGAUACAGCAAGAAAGAAAAUUAAAGCCAGGAGAAGGCAAAGAAAAAAAGAAAAAAAAAAAGAAAAAAACAAGCUUUUUUGCUGAGUAAAUUUUAGGAUGCCUUUGCUUGUUUCAGCACAAUAAGAUCCAAUUCACAGAAAAACAUACAAGAAAACUCCACAAAACAAGACAGAUAACAGUCAAACUUGACAAGCCCAUUUUACAUCAAACCAAACUUGACUUCUGUACUAAGCCUUGACAGAUAGGGAGAAUUAAAACAUGUCAUAUCUUAACUGUAGUGAGGCUUUUUGAUACCAUCGUAUAAACAAGGUGGCAAAACAUGGUCCAGAUGACUUAUGAGUCAGAACCAAAACUGUCCACCAGUGGAGCUCACCAUCAAAACAGAGGCCUUCAACAAGCAGUGCACUACAGAAGCAGAUCCCAUUUGUGGUAUUACUGCUCUUCUCUAGUUUCAGUCAAUGCUUUCAUUGAUUACGUGAUGGGAAAGACAACACUUAAUAAACGCGCACCACAAGGGGACCUGCUGCAAAGAGGAAGACGACCUUGUCAAACCAAAGACCCACAGAGUAAGAGAAAGAAAGGAACUCUACAGAAAAUAAUUUAAUUAAAGUUUUAUGCUUAGAUGGGAGUAAUUUAAUGAUAGAAAUAGAUAGUGUGGCACAAGUGAACAGCUGUGGGACUGACAACUGUCUUUACCAACUAGAAUCAGAAAUAAAACAUCCAGGAAAAAGCACAUUCAUCUCAAACACUUCUGCACAUUUACUCCUCUGCAGCAGUGUUACAGAAAUGAGCAGAGAUAUGAGUAACACUAUUUAUACUCUAACAAUCAGAGAACACAACUGACUGAGCAGCUUCAGCGAGGUUCAAGGUACUAGUCAAGGUUUCCUUCAGAGCAUAAGCGUUUUCUGAAUCACAGCCAGUUUCUCCAGCACCUUUAGCUACAAGUUCAGAACACAUUCUAAAGUAAAAAAAAAAAAAAAUUGAGAAAAUCAUAUUAUCUUUCCUAAUCUGAAUACCAACAUAAAAAAAAACCUCUCAGGAGUAGGGCAAUUUCUGUCACUUUCCCAAGAACUAGAUCCCCUUAAAAGGCUUCUGGUUUCUCCUUCAGCUAGUUUUUCCACUACAGUGCCUCUUCACACAUAUUUUGUAAAAGAACACAAAACACUACUUGCUUGACUACUUUUACACAAUAGGAAAAAGAAUUAGUUGCUGAUUAGGGUUUGAAAUCCAUUACACUCCAUGUGCCCAGUUACACACACACACACACACCAUAUCCAGCCCUUGUACCUGGAAUGAGACUUCCCCCAGCAAAAUUCAGAAGACUGAACAUGUUUGAAAAAGAAAACAAACAAACAAGUCACGUUUCCCCUACAUAACAGGAGGUAAUUUUGUCUGGGAUAAUGUUCUUCUUCCUCAUAGGGAUAUACACUGACAUUCUUAUAAAGAGCCUAUGCUGUGUUACUUCCUCAACACAUUCAGUAGAUGAAGGGCAACUCGUUAUUGCCAACAGUGAUCCAAAGACUGCAAUACUACUUUCAGAUAAUAGGUGUGAGAUCAGCAAAUUUUCACUUUAAAACCUAUUGAAUUACCUGAAAAUAUUACCGAAUACUUCUAAUGGCACAGCAUAUUAUUCCAGUCAUUAUUAACACUAAAUGAUCAAAAUGAGCAACUCUUCACUCAAUUCCAGAAACAACCAUUGAGAGAUUUACUCCAUCGCCCAUACAACAGACUUGGUAUUUUAGUGGUUUUCCUGCAAUCAUAACAUGACCCUGAGAGAUGAGCCUUGCAAUCAGAACGUCAACUGCUAGGUGUGAAUUUGUUAGCAAGUUCUGCUUAUCUAAGCAGCUAAUCUUAAGGAAGGUCAGAAAGCAGCUACUAUUUUAAGAAAAUCUAGUUUAAAUAACAGCAUAAUCAGUGUUAAAAAUAAAGGGGAGUGCUUAAUGGAAAGUCAUUUUCUAAGGCAAACCCAUAAUAGCAUAAUUAAGAUUGAAUUCAACUCAUCAAUUGAAAUUAAAAUGAGAAAAAUAGUAUACUAAUUCUCAAACGUAACCAGGUGACACGCAGCUCAUUCAGCAGCAGAACCAGUGCUGCUAUUCUUAUAAUGGUACGUUGCCAUUACACAAGUUGAGACAAGAUGGGCAGCACUCCAGAAAGGUGAAGACAGAAAUAACAAUUUAUAGGGUGAGGAGGGAUGGAGAACACUUCAGUACAUCCAGAUGGACACUCAGUCAGACACUACUCCACAGUCACCACCUGCCUUGGGCACUUUCUCCUUCUAAUUCUCGUAAGACAACCCAGCAACUUCAUGAAAUAAAUAGAGUUUCUACCAACAUAUGUUUCUGAGUUCAUUGUUCACUUUGCUAAAAUAAAUAUUUACACGUAACAAAAUCCAGAACUACUCAGAAAUCACACUAGUCGGUUAUGUAGGCUUAUUUAGCAUCGCUAAAAAAAGAUCUGAGGGUUGGAGUUCCUCAGAGGAACAAAACCAACAACAAAAGUUACAUUCCGCAUAGGCAGAGAAGCACAGCUCAGAGCAAAAUCAGGUUUACGCACCUCUAUCCUCAGAAAGGUUCUAAACAUUGCCAGUUCACAAGUGUGUUUGAAACUAAACAUAAGGACCUGAAGCACUAUGUAACUGCACUUUAAAGAAACAACUUCUAAAAGCAUUUUAUUUGUCAGAGUGCCAUACGGGUGCCAAACUCAGAGUGCUUAGGCUGCAGCAGCAUUAGCUCACCAGGCACACAGAUCUCCUCAGGACAGCACCUUCCACACAGGUCAUGCAUCCAGAACUUGUUUUCUUAGAUCUACUGAUGCAUCUUCAAGGCUAUGUACCUGAUUUCAGGGUGAGACAUUGGAUUUUUUCUUUGAAAUGUAAUGUUUCUUUCCCAAAUUCCCACAAUGACAAGCAAAGCUGUGCACAAAGCUCGUCUGAGGGACUGGUUGGCUGCAGUAUCUGCAGACAUCCAGUCAAGCACACAGGCACUAACCAGAAGGUUAUACCAGUUAAUCAGCUCACACCACCUCUGAUUACACCAUUUCAGCAAUGUUCCAGGCUGCUCUCCAGCACCACAAGCUCCAAGAUCAUCAAGCAGUUUUAUAUCUCCAUCAGCAGAUGUCACCUUUAUACACCUGGAGAGCUGCUAAGUCAUUAAACUGAAUUAAGUCACCUCGACUUCAGAACUCCGGUCCCUGAGGCUGUCCUUGGGCCACCAAAGCCAUCUAUAUUUCCAAGA